AUGAACGCUGGCGGUAUGCUUCACACAUGCAAGUCGCACGGACUCUUCGGAGUUAGUGGCGGACGGGUGAGUAACGCGUGAGAAUCUGGCUUUGGGUUCGGGACAACCACUGGAAACGGUGGCUAAUACCGGAUGUGCCGAGAGGUAAAAGAGAAAUUGCCUGAAGAUGAGCUCGCGUCUGAUUAGCUAGUUGGUGAGGUAAAGGCUCACCAAGGCAGCGAUCAGUAGCUGGUCUGAGAGGAUGACCAGCCACACUGGGACUGAGACACGGCCCAGACUCCUACGGGAGGCAGCAGUGGGGAAUUUUCCGCAAUGGGCGAAAGCCUGACGGAGCAAUACCGCGUGAGGGAAGAAGGCUCUUGGGUUGUAAACCUCUUUUCUUAGGGAAGAACAAAAUGACGGUACCUAAGGAAUCAGCAUCGGCUAACUCCGUG
rnacentral:rRNA from 1 species